GCCGGUGUAGCUCAGGGGUAGAGCAACUGAUUCGUAAUCAGUAGGUCGCAGGUUCAAAUCCAGUCACCGGCU
rnacentral:tRNA from 14 species